GGAGGGUGUAGCUCAGUGGUAGAGUGCAUGCUUAGCAUGCAUUAGGUCCUGGGUUCAAUUCCCAGUACCUCCA
rnacentral:tRNA from 1 species